GGAGGUGGAGGUAGUAAUUCUUCUUCUGAUCUGAAUGUUGAUAAGGAAGCACCUCUAAUUCCAUCAUCAAGGUCACACAUUGGACGCGCGUUUAGCAACCAUGCUGCAUGAUUUUUGAAAGCCCAACCAUAAAUUCUAUAUCCUGAAAGAGACUGAAGAACUGCAAAAGAAAGUAAGUUCAAGCAUGGUAUGAAUCCUUUAAUUUCAAGAGAAUAUAUCUUUUCUUUAUUUGUUUUUAUCCCUACAUCUACAUCGUGUACAUCUUCACAUAGCAAGGUGAAAGGUCAGCAAUACAAAAUUAAAUAUCGAAACUCAUUGCACUAACCUUUCUCUAGUUCGAGUUCUGUUGAAAUGUUGAAAUAAUUUGUUAUUUGAAUUUGUUAUGCGAUAUAAACUUUUUU
rnacentral:misc_RNA from 1 species